AGUCCCUACGGGAGGCAGCAGUGAGGAAUAUUGGUCAAUGGGCUAAGGCCUGAACCAGCCAAGUCGCGUGAGGGAAGACGGUCCUAUGGAUUGUAAACCUCUUUUGUCGGGGAGCAACGAGGCCACGUGUGGCCGAAGUGAGAGUACCCGAAGAAAAAGCAUCGGCUAACUCCGUGCCAGCAGCCGCGGUAAUACGGAGGAUGCGAGCGUUAUCCGGAUUUAUUGGGUUUAAAGGGUGCGCAGGCGGAUUUUUAAGUCAGCGGUCAAAUCGUGGGGCUCAACCCCAUCCAGCCGUUGAAACUGGG
rnacentral:rRNA from 1 species